rnacentral:lncRNA from 1 species
AUUUUGGGCCAAUGUCAUAAAGAGGCAUUAGGCCCCGGGCUAUAGUGAAUAUUGGUAUUAAUGUCAUAUUUGGAACAUAGAACAUGAAUUGAGCUUGAUUAGUUGUGAUGCUUAAGUGUCAUAAAGAGGCACUAAGCAAGUGAGUGUUGAGAUAUCACAUUGUGACAUAGAGCUAGACCGUUGGGUUACUAGUAGCUAUUGCCAUGUUUGAGACAUGAGGGUUGGACACUUGAGCCUUUGACUACGCUUGCUUGCCAUUUGUGCUCAUUCGUACAUGCUUGUGAGGGUCGCUCCCUACAAGCGGGCACUCCGGAGUUAGCCUACGCGACUUAUGUUCGCUCGUGCGGUAUUGAGAAGCCUACGGGGUCGAGUGGGAUAGACACAUUCCAAGAGUAGGAAUGUCGGGCUACCACAGGCA